rfam:Camelus ferus unplaced genomic scaffold scaffold854, whole genome shotgun sequence.
GCGGGUAGAGCUCAGUGUAGAGCGCAUGCCUAGCAAGCAUGAGGUCCUGGGUUCACCCCCCAGUGCCUCCA